rnacentral:rRNA from 1 species
UACGUAGGGGGCUAGCGUUGUCCGGAUUUAUUGGGCGUAAAGAGCGUGUAGGCGGCCAGGUAGGUCUGCUGUGAAAACUCGAGGCUCAACCUCGAGACGUCGGUUGAAACCGUACGGCUAGAGUCCGGAAGAGGAGAGUGGAAUUCCCGGUGUAGCGGUGAAAUGCGCAGAUAUCGGGAAGAACACCCGUGGCGAAGGCGGCUCUCUGGGACGGUACUGACGCUGAGACGCGAAAGCGUGGGGAGCGAACAGG